UACAGAGGUCUCAAGCGUUGUUCGGAUUCAUUGGGCGUAAAGGGUGCGUAGGUGGCGCCGUAAGUCGGGUGUGAAAUUUCGGAGCUUAACUCCGAAACUGCAUUCGAUACUGCGGUGCUUGAGGACUGGAGAGGAGACUGGAAUUCAUGGUGUAGCAGUGAAAUGCGUAGAGAUCAUGAGGAAGACCAGUGGCGAAGGCGGGUCUCUGGACGGUUCCUAACACUGAGGCACGAAGGCCAGGGGAGCAAACGGG
rnacentral:rRNA from 1 species